rnacentral:lncRNA from 1 species
AUUAAUACUUUUUGCAAGUUAAUUAAUUAGAUGCUAUGUGCAGUGAAUGAAAUGAAAGUAAGAGAUGACAAGGCAAUCACAAACACAAAGAUUUUAUAGUGGUUCGGAGCUAACCCUUGCUCCUACGUCCACUCCCCAAGCCUCAUUUGGGAAUUCACUAUAACCCCUCGGAUUACAGCCGGUUGUUUUACAAGCUCACAACCUAACUUGUUGUUUUACGAGGUCACAACGAACUCGGUCGGUUUUUCUAGGCUCACCGACUAGAACCACCCGAUUGUUUUUC